rnacentral:rRNA from 1 species
UACGUAGGGUGCAAGCGUUGUCCGGAAUUAUUGGGCGUAAAGGGCUCGUAGGCGGUCCAUCGCGUCGGGGAGUGAAAAGCUGGGGCUUAACCCCAGUCCUGCUUCCGAUACGGGUGGACUAGAGGUAUGCAGGGGGAGAACGGAAUUCCUGGUGUAGCGGUGAAAUGACGCAGAUAUCAGGAGGAACACCGGUGGCGAAGGCGGUUCUCUGGGCAUUACCUGACGCUGAGGAGCGAAAGCAUGGGGAGCAAACAGG